UACAUAGUACAUUUGAAAUUGUCCUGGUGGUUGAUAUCUUAGAUAUAGAAUAUAUGUGCUAGGUAUUUAUGUUGUUAUUUUCAUUGUUGAAUUUUCUAUUUGCUAACAUUAAGGUAACUAUAAAUUAUAGGCACUAUAGUCAACAUAAAUCAAACACAGUGUACAAGUUCAGGCCCAUUAAUUCACCCUGACGACCCUUCAAAUGUUUUUACAUCAUUUCGACUUGAACUAAAAGAAAGAGUUAUUCGAGGUCCAUACAGGGUUGCCACCCGUACUAUUUUUUAAAGUAUUGUACUUCUUUUUUCACUUCUGUACUUUGGACUUUGUAGUCUUAAUAAAGUACGCUAAAAUACUUUAUUUCUUAUAAUAUUUACUUGAGGAAAUUAUUUUCGUCAAUUAUUCUUAACACGGAAUAAUGAUAUUGUGGGGACGCUAAUAAAUUGUAUAAUAUUAUUAUUUUAGAAGUAAUAGUAUUCAAUAUUACAAUUAAUAUUAAUCAAUUUUAUUAUUAUUCUUAGUAUUUUUGUAUUAUUUUAGUAUUAUAAGCAAUCGCAAGCGUUGCUGUCGUGCACUACCACGAGUCCACGAAUGAGUUUAAUGCGAUCGAUGAAUUAAUCUUAUCAGUUUUUCCAGCCUUCACGCAAACGGCACGCCGCACACGUCAUUCUAUUCUUGGAACGGAUAUUAUUGUUGUUUUCAGUUAAUUUAGUAUUUUAGUGUUUAGUGGUUUACUAAACCAGGUUUAGUCACUUCUUCAGUGUUCACGAACAGUCAACGACCAACACAUGUCACAUGUUGUCUGCAGUUGUAUUAAAAUUCAUUAAUUUUAGUUAUUUAUUCAUUAUUAAAUAAAAUCGUACAUUUGAUAUGGAUUCGUCUGCUGACGAACCACUUUCAGAUGAUUUAAAUAGCACGAAAAACCGUGUUAAAAGAAAACAAUGUUUUAAGGAUGAUUGGAUUCAAUCACAUAAAUGAGUUGGUAAAUCUGAAGACAAAUAUGAAGCCUACUGUCAUUCAUGCAAAGUUAAAUUUUCUGUAGGAAACUCUGGCAUAGCUGCGAUUAAACAACACGAGAUAAGUAAAAAGCAUAAAAGUUCACAGUCAAGUUUACUUAAAAAUAAAACUAUCGACUUUUAUGGAUUCAAAGGACCUACUGCCGAUAAAGAAGAAAAUCAAGUAAUUGCUUGUGAACUUGUCCAAGUUUACCAUACCGUUAAACAUAAUUUGUCUUAUAAUAGUUUAGAUUGCUGUAUAAAAGUUGAAAAAAAAAUAUAUAAAGAUUUUAAAAUGUUAAACAAAUUACAUUUAGGUAGGACAAAGGCUGAAAGUAUUGUAACUGAAGUAUUAGGGCCAGCUUAUCUCCAUAAAAUAAUUGAUUAUUUAAAUAGUGAAAAUGUUAUUGCUUUUUCUAUUCAAACUGAUGCUAGCAACAAAAAAAAUGUAAAGCUUUUUCCUCUCAGUGUCCAAUAUUUCAG